rnacentral:SRP_RNA from 1 species
CCAUACCAGCCGGGGAGUCAGCGGUGCCUUGUACCCGAGAUCCGCUAUAGCGGGGGUUCAUUCCCGGUAAGAGGGUGGAGUCGACGCGGCCUGCGACUUUCUUUCUGUGUUGAAGAACGGGUCCCGCGCAAUCGGACGCUGUGAACCAUGUCAGGUGGGGAACCAAGCAGCAUUAAGCGGUUUUUCCGGUGUGCCGCGAGGCAGCCUGUUCCGAGCAGGGGGCGAGACUAACGCGCGGCGGCGAAAUUCGAAUUCCGGGUGUAUGG